GGUUUAAUGGCGUAGUUGGUUAUCGCAUCUGUCUAACAUGAUACAGAGCCCGUCCUUACACAAAAUGUCCCCAGUUCGAGCCUGGGUCAAAUCG